AACCCCAUUACACGCCUGAGGAGGAUGUGGAGAAGAAAGGAAAUUCAUCAAAAGGAAGAGGAGGAAAAGAAAAAAUUAAAAGGAAAAAAAAAAAAAGAGAGAAGAGAAAGGAAAUGAGUGGCGGAAAAAAUGGGGGAAAAGACAACUUUCAGAGACUGGAAUUAAAACCCGAGCCCGAGGCCCGUGCUGCCGCAGCUCUGGGGAUGCCCUCGACACCAGGCUGGACAUGGGUUCACCCUACGUGAUGCUCAUUUUCUGGCUGACAAGGUGUAGGUCUCUGGCCCCGGGGAGAGUUCACUGGGAAUAUCAUGUUCAGAUUGGCUCAUUAUUACAUGAAUCAGGAGUGGGGGUUAUAUGGAAAACUCCAGCCCCCAAAAGCCAUGAGCUGUGAGGAGCUGCCAGCAGGACCUUGUCUUGAGGCCCCCUCAGCAGAAGCCCCUCACCACGGCUGAUCCCACUUCGCUCCUCCUCUCCCUGCUCCUGCUGGCCGACCCUGGGCUGGAGCAUGAUGUGGACCCUGAUUUCCAGCAGCGUCUGUCCAGGCUGAGCAGAGCUGCUGACCAGCACCAGACCUCGGCAUGGGGACACAGCACCGGUUCAGGCAUGGCCGGGGUGCAGAGGACACCGGGACAGCCCCAUCCUGCCCUGCACGUGGCUCUGUGGGCCACUCUCUGGGGAAACAAACGCUUUUCACCCACAAUUCCCGGCUGUGAGGCCUCAUGACUCCAAGGCAGCAUUCCUGGGACAUUCCUGAUGCCACGGUGAAGAACGUAAGGCUGGAAGAAUAGGAAAAAUUAAAAAAAACAAGAAGAAAAGAAAGAAAAAGAGUCUCCAACCCCAGGAAAUCUGUGUUAAUUGCUUAUGAACGUCUCUGUCUAAAAAAUUAUCGAAUUGAUGUUGUCGUGCUUUUUUUUGACAGCCUGUCUGUUACAUUUUUUUAAAAUAUUCAUGCACUGAAAUCUAAUUACUAGGCAAAUUUAAUGAUAAUGAAAUGAAGGCACUUUAGCAGAAAGCAUAGGGCCUUGUUAAUGUUUUCUCAGCCUCUGUCUUGUUCAUAUUUUUAAAAUUAUUUUUUUUACAACUGUCUUUCUUGCGUAUGAAAAAAAAAAAAAGAUUGCUGAAAAUAAAACUCAGAUUGCCAAUAAUGUUUGUGGUGGCUCUGUUUGUAAUGAUGGGGAAUUUGCAAGGUGAUUAAAGGUGUUUUGCAAAAAUCAAAUGAGCCUAACCUAAUCAGAUAAGGCAGAUGAAAUAUUAUUAUUAGAGGGGUAACAUUAAGAGCACGCCUUGAGGCUUUAACAAAGAUGAAGCUUCUCGUGCACUGUGCAGGGCCAACAAGAGUCUUGCCAUCCUCUAGGCCCCUCCAGCCCCUUUCCAGGACUUGUCUGUGCUCUCCCUAAGUCAGGCCUGGAUGUUUGGAGGAUGCAGGUGAUGGAGGAUGCAGGUGAUGGAGGAUGCAGGUGAUGGCUGGAGGAUGCAGGUGAUGGCUGGAGGAUGCAGGUGAUGGCUGGAGGAUGCAGGUGAUGGUUGGAGGAUGCAGGUGAUGGUUGGAGGAUGCAGGUGAUGGCUGGAGUACGGUUGCAAUUGCUGGGGAAGGCAGGUGAUGGAUGGAGAGCACACAUGAGGGUUGGAACGUGUGUGUAACGACUGGAGGAGGCUCGUGGUAACUGGAGAAGAUGGAGAUGGGGCACGGACGUGACCAAGCACACACGUGAGGGUUGGAGCACACACAGGACAGGUGGAACACAGGUGGUGGUUGGAGCAUGCACAUGAUGGAUCUUGCAUGUGACAGCCAGUCCACCUGCUCCAGGUCCUUCCUGCACCCCUCUGGGUGAUCACUGAGCAGAGUGCCAGUAGCUGGGGGGCAGAAAAAUGCUGUGACCCCACCCAUGGGCCUGAGGAGAUGCCACCUGGAGCCCACAAACCAUCAGGGGCCAGCCUGAUUGCCAGGAAGCUGUGGAGAGUCUCUGGCCAUGCUGCAGGCUGUGGUGGGUGUCCAGGCCAUGGUCGUGUCCAGGCCACAGUGGGUGUCCAGGCCAUGGUGGGUGUCCAGGCUGAGGUGGAUGUUGAGGCCACAGUGGGUGUCCAGGCCAUGGUGGUGUCCAGGCUGAGGUGGUGUCCAGGCCGUGGUGAUGUCCAGGCCGUGGUGAUGUCCAGGCCGUGGUGAUGUCCAGGCCAUGGUGGUGUCCAGGCCGUGGUGGUGUCCAGGCCUUGCAAUCAGGUUUGUACCUUGACACUGUGGCAUGAAAUGAGGCAGAUUCUCCCCAUUCAAGGCAAGCUUAAGCCUCUGAAGAGAGUGCUGCAGAGAUUCCCAGGGGAUAUUGGUUGGCAGAGGUCCCAUGAUACCCUCAAAAAUAUCCCCCCAAACAGAAAUAACUCAGUAAAACAAAGCAAUGGAUUGUUCAGCCAACUAAAAUUACCAGCAUGUCAAAUAAAAUAUGUACAGCAUUAAAAUAAAA